GUGUUCCACCCCAACGACUAGAAUGGAACCGUAUAAGAUUUUUAUAGUCUUCUUGCUUAUUGCGACCAGCUGCCAUAUCAACGACGCCCAAUGUUCGUUUGGAUGGGGAGGAGUGUUUCACUGCAAGCGGGAGAGUGAUGCCAAAAAAAUAUCUGAUAACAGAAGUUUCAAAACACGUGGUGAAUCAGACAAGGGUCAAACUGCAAGGAAGUCGAUCGGAAACAAGAUUUUUCUCAAGAGAACGCGGGGAAAAAAUGGAUACAAGGAAGAUUUUAAACACUUGUUCGCUUAGUUCUUAAUAAGUGUCAUAACUUGGACGUCGUAAGAUACGUUGAUGCGGCUGAUGAAAAAUCGAAACCAGGAUACCAACGCGACAAUCAUCUUCAAAUUCAUGAAAGCACCGUAAAUUAAAUGUGUUUUGCUUUGUUGACACAACUUAACUCGUGAACUUCUUAAACUCAGGUAUUAAAUGGCUCUCAUGCAAUGACAAAUAGAAAUAAGGGAAAGGAAUUAUUUUGACAGUAUUAAAGGGCCUGUAAUAUAACUAAGGGUUGAAAUGAAUAAACUAGACAAAAGUUUGUCGUCA